UACAGAGGGUGCGAGCGUUGUCCGGAAUCACUGGGCGUAAAGGGUGCGUAGGCGGCCUGCUAAGUCGGACGUGAAAUCCCUGGGCUCAACCCAGGAACUGCGUCCGAUACUGGUUGGCUUGAAUCCGGGAGAGGGAUGUGGAAUUCCAGGUGUAGCGGUGAAAUGCGUAGAUAUCUGGAGGAACACCGGUGGCGAAGGCGGCAUCCUGGACCGGUAUUGACGCUGAGGCGCGAAAGCCAGGGGAGCAAACGGG
rnacentral:rRNA from 1 species